ensembl:lncRNA
AGGCCAGGACUUAGCAUUUCCUCUACAACCACAGAAGGACUGAAUGUAAUCAGAUGUCUGUAUUUUCUUUCUGCAACAGCAGCUAAAAACAAGUGCUCGGGAAGAGUCUAAGAUUCAUGCAAUAUGCACAAUAUUUCUCCAAAUAGUCUUCCAGUCUCCAGCCGUUUGUGGCUCAUUGACUUCCUAGCUCAGAGAUGGUUUCUGUGUGUUCAGGAAUCCUCAGGGGUCUUCUCUUCAAUGAGCUUGUAAAUCCUAUCCUCUAAAGCAAGUAAGUUUUUAGAAACAUGCAUCAAGGUGUUCUGCAGCUUACCUGCACACAGCAUGAAGAACCACUUCUGGCUUCAGCUACUGCCAUCUCACCCAUCCUUACCCAGCCACACAGUUUUACCAGGAAUAGAUUAUGCCUUUCAUUGUCUGAAGAGACACAGUUUUAUUCGUUGUCUGCUUUCCACAUCCUUGAUCUUGCCUGUGGACCUUCCCUGGGUAAGAGACACAUAGAACUACUAGAAAUAGCAAGUACCACCAAUGGUCUUUGUAGCUAAUCUGUGGAUCAAUGGAAGACAGUUGGAUUAGUAUUUAUUUUCUAGGACAGAACAUAGAAGAUUGGAAAACACUGGGCUGGAGAAAGUGAAAGUACGUACAAGAAAAUUAAUUUAUUUGGUACUGGUGUACGUGUAAAUGUGCACUGCAGGCCUAAGAGAGUGUUUCUGUAAUGCAUGUGGCUUGUACAAACCAAAGGGCAGAAGAGCCUUUCUCAUCCCUUUUGAAGCCACGUGGCUCUGGAGCAGCCCAGCAGAACAAGCAACAAGUACCAGACCUCAGGCCAGCCCUCCUUCCGUCCUGCCUUACAAACCACUCCAGGCAGCCUUGGCAGCCAUGAGCUGAAGGCCCUUAAAAUUGCAGCAAAAUGGGGGCAUUCCUCCUACUGAGCAGGAGGGCAUUUCUGAGCUACCUGGGCAGCUUCAUUCUGCCCCUUACUCAAAAUUAUUCUCAGAGGAGGUGAUUUUGCACUGCUCUUCUCUUAACCUCCAUUAAACUAUCUUUAACCCUAUAGUGGCCCUUAAUCUUAACGAGAUCAACCACUGAGUAGGACACUGUUACAUGCAGGAGUGACUCUACCUUCUAUUUUUUCCACUAAGAAUCUAAAGUCAGGAAAAUAAUUCACAGCUGAUACCUGUUAUUUUUCCCUCCCUGGCAUUCAAGAAGUCAGUCUAUGUGGCUGUGGUUUCCACUUGUCCUAGCCUAAGCAAUUAAGUCUUAUCCUUACCUAGGUUGGCAC